CAUGAAGUUUAUACUAUAAAGUGAUCGAAUAAAUUAUAUUUGUUGCAUGUAAAAAGAGAAAGAUAUGGCCAUUAGUUAUAAGUUUGUGUAUGCCAUAAUUUUUUUUAUUUUCCUAUUUCUUGUUGCAAAUAAUGUUGAGGGAUAUAUUGUUUGUAUAACUGAUAAUGAUUGCCCAGAAAAUACUGAGGUUCGACAGUAUGAGUGCAUUGAAGGCAGAUGUAGAUUGUCUAGAGUUCUCAACCCAUAGUAUAUGAGUUUCAUACUCAAGAUAUUACAAUUACACCAUGCAUGGAUGACUGAGUUCUUACACUAGCAAAAAGAAAUAUGGAUUAUAUAUUUUGCUAAAAUAUUUUAUAAUUACCAUUUAGUUAUUGUCCUGGAUCCCAAUAAUUAUUUUUUAUUUAUUUUUUAGUUUUUUUUAUCACCGUGGCCUUCAAUUUAAGAAUAUGACAUUCUAUUUACAGACCUA